UACAGAGGUCUCAAGCGUUGUUCGGAAUCACUGGGCUUAAAGGGCGCGUAGGCGGCUUCGCAAGUCCGGGGUGAAAGCCCCCAGCUCAACUGGGGAAGUGCCUUGGAUACUGCGGGGCUCGAGGGAGGUAGGGGUGCGUGGAACUUCCGGUGGAGCGGUGAAAUGCGUUGAUAUCGGAAGGAACGCCGGUGGCGAAAGCGACGCACUGGACCUCUUCUGACGCUGAGGCGCGAAAGCCAGGGGAGCAAACGGG
rnacentral:rRNA from 1 species